CCCCAAGACCCGCCUUCUAUAGGGCGGCUACCCCGGGGCCUGCCAGAUGAGCAGUCCCGCCCUCGCAGAGGAGCCGCUUGGCCUGCAGUGGCCAGGGGCCCCAAACCAGCUGCCUUAGACCCUCCCAGCGUUCUUGGAUGCGAGAAGGAGCUCGGCAAGGUUGCUACUGCAUUUGGAAGAGAAAGAGAUAGCAGGCAUCUGAGCCCAGAGGGAAGACCAGAUGAGGACACGGUAAGAAGGUGGCUAUCUGCAAGCUAAGAAGUGAAACCUCAGAAGAAAUAAAACCCUGAUCUCAGACUUUCAGAUUCCAAAACUGAGAAAAUAAAUGUCUGUGAUUUAA